rnacentral:rRNA from 1 species
UACGUAGGGGGCAAGCGUUGUCCGGAAUCAUUGGGCGUAAAGCGCGUGUAGGCGGCCAGAAAAGUCCGCUGUGAAAACUCGAGGCUCAACUUCGAGCUGUCGGUGGAAACUUUCUGGCUAGAGUCCGGAAGAGGAGAAUGGAAUUCCUGGUGUAGCGGUGAAAUGCGUAGAUAUCUGGAGGAACACCGGUGGCGAAGGCGGCAUCCUGGACCGGCAUUGACGCUGAGGCGCGAAAGCCAGGGGAGCAAACGGG